rnacentral:sRNA from 1 species
UACAAUCGGCAAAAUCUAGAGUAUCUAAUAAUGUUUUGUGUAUAGAAUCUGUAAAUAUUUGUUUAGUAUAAUGUAACAGGAUAAUUCUCAUUCGAUAUAAAAAACUACAUAUAUAUUAGUUGUUUUAGGCCAUCUCCAUCAGUAUUUCUGAAUGAGAAACUUAAUAAUAAAAUAAGAACAAAAAAGUGAAAAAGUAGGAUAGAGAGGGAGAAGAGUACCUCACUUGAGAAACUAAGAGAAUCGUUUUUCUGACAGAAUCGCCACAUGUCAAUCAAAUAUUAGUUUAACUAUUACAAUUUAAAUAAAAUAUAUUAUAU